GUUCUCAUCACCUACAUACUCCUUUCUCCGCCGAUCUCUUCUCCCCCCACCCACUUUGCUCCGGGCCUGGUCGACAGAGCUGAAGGGGCGGGGGCUCCUUCCCCGGAGUGUUUCUAGAGCUCGGAGGCUGCUCGUAGGGGGGCACCACUUUCAGAUAAAAACAUAGACCUGAAUGGCAUCAUCCAGUAUCCAAGGAAACCGUAUCAGCUAGGAAGUGACUGCUUCCAGCAGACUGGAGGUUCCCUUAAGGAGGUGAGGAAGAUUGCUUCAGAGAACGCCAAAUUCAAGAAACACGAGUCCCUCUACUUGCCCCCUCAGGCUAUGUUC